rnacentral:lncRNA from 1 species
GGAUGGUUGCCGGGUCUGUGUGGAUAGAAGUAGACAUGGGAGACUUUUCAUUUUGUUCUGUACUAAGAAAAAUUCUUCUGCCUUGGAAAAAAAAAAAAAAAACAACAACUUUGAAUCCCAGCCUGGACCACGGCACCCGCCACAACGGAGCUUGUCUGCCAGAGGGACAGCUUCUUCUGUGCAGGCCCGUCCACGUCUCCAGGCCUGUGUCUCCCACUCCCUUUCCUGUCUGUCUUGGUCAACGUGGGCUGCCGUGACAGAAGACCACAGACUGGAGGCUUAAACCACAGGAAACGUGUUUCUUACUGCUCUGGAGGAUGGGAAGUAGAGAUGGGGGUACUGGCAUGUUUGGUUCUGGUGAGGGCCUCUCCCCCCACCACUCCCCUGAGGAAACCAGGGUCUAAAGUCUAACCAUACUUAUGGGUAGAACUGUCCCCCCAAAAUUCUAUGUUGACAUUCCAACCCCCAGCACCUCAGAAUGAGACUUGUUUGGAGACAGAGUCUUUACAGAGAAAAUCAGGUUAAGGUGCGGUCACAAGGGCGGGCCUCACCCCAGCAUGAGGCGCCCUUAUGGAAAGGGGAUCUGGAGACAGGCAUGCAGGGAGAGGCCGUGCGAAGAUGAAGGCCGAGGUCAGGGCGGUGCUUUCUCAGGCCAAGGAUCACCGAGGGCUGCUGGCCGCCACAGGGAGCUGGGGAGAGGAUGGGACCGGUCCUGCCUCGCAGCCUCGGAGGAGCCGGCCAUGCAACCGGAUCCUAGACUUCUUCACUCUGAGCGUGUGCAUGAGUAACUGCGGAAGCACGAAGUUCCUGCGAGUCACUCCUCUGUGUUAAUUGCCAUGGGUGUUGCUGGAAGCUGUUUCUACCCCAGGACGUCUGGAAGGAAGUGGCCGGGAAGGGCAUGGUGGAGGCCGCUGACCCGCUGACGUCUCCACAGCCAAACGUCCCCCUGCCGGGCCCCAAAGUGCCCACUGCCUCUCCAGUGCCAGCCCAGCAAGAGAGGAAGCGGAGGCGGGGUGGGAGCCCUUGUGGUUAAGGAAUUUUGGCUUAGCACCUUUUACAAAACCGUGUGCUGCCUUGGAAGGGGAUCUACCAGCUUCCCGUGAAUCCGUCCCACUGUGUGGACCUGCUAUGCCAGUGCCAUGACGUGGACCAGGCUGGCACAAGCCCUCUGCAGGUCCACCUGUUGGCAGCGCCACACUCCCUCCCGAGGCAAAGCUACUGGCCCCUUCUAGCUUCCAGAGCUGAUUUCCAGAGGCCGCACACCUUUGUUCUAAAAUUUGUACCUGGGCUUAGUUUUAGUCAGGUGCGGUAAGGUGGCAGACGUGGAGACAACUUCCUGCAAAGAAGAUACAUUACAUUUCCCAAGAGAAGGGGGCACAGCACACAGGGCCACGGAGUGGAGGGAGCCCCAGUUCAUGGGGGCUCUGCGGGAAGGGCAAAUGAGGCAGGGUGGACACUGCCAGGUGAGAUCAGGACGGGAUUGGAGUUGGAGCGACUUCCCUGGGCCCUGGGCUCGGCAGCCCCUGGUCGGCCAGGACCUCGCCCUGGGGUGACUGAGGGCAGGGACACUGGCUUUGUGUGACUGUGAGAAGGAGGCACCUGUGGGCUCUGGAGGGGUGAUCUCUCCAGGAUCAAGACGCCCAAGGCCAGUGCAUUAAGAAUACAGAAAAUAGGCUGGGUGCGGUGGCUCACGCCUAUAAUCCCAGCACUUUGGGAGGCUGAAGUGGGCAGAUCACCUGAGGUCAAGAGAUCGAGACCAUCCUGGCCAACAUGGUGAAACCCUCUCUCCACUAAAAAUACAAAAAUU